UUCAAUCUGCCUGCCUUUCUGUAUUGUGUCGUGAACUGGAGCACGUGUUUUCUAAAAUUCUUUGAAAGAGGAUCCCAAAAUGAACACCCGGUAUAAAACGCGUGGAAUAAAAAAAAAUGAGAUUGUCUUAUUGAAAGAUGAAGCUGUACUUCAUUAGGAUGGGAACUAAGGUAUGACGCGUAGACAGAAGAUUGUACCAACGUGUUACUCGAAGAUGAUGGCAGGCAAUCCAAGGUUAGUGUUUUAAUUGUGGUUCAAAUUCAUUCGGCAUGGCCCAUUUUGAAAAGAAAUUGGCAAUGAUGAUUAGUUUUAUAUUUUCUGACAUCUCUUAUGAAUAUUCUUGAUUUUAUAUAAACUUGACUGAAAUAUUACAAUGUCGAUAAAGACCUUGAUACAAAUUUGGAAUCAUUUUAUUAAUC